rnacentral:rRNA from 1 species
CGGCGGACGGGUGAGUAAUGCCUAGGAAUCUGCCUGGUAGUGGGGGACAACGUUUAGAAAGGAACGCUAAUACCGCAUACGUCCUACGGGAGAAAGCAGGGGACCUUCGGGCCUUGCGCUAUCAGAUGAGCCUAGGUCGGAUUAGCUAGUUGGCGGGGUAAAGGCCCACCAAGGCGACGAUCCGUAGCUGGUCUGAGAGGAUGAUCAGCCACACUGGAACUGAGACACGGUCCAGACUCCUACGGGAGGCAGCAGCC